GACAGCGUCCUGUUGGCGGCUCGCUGUUUGUGUUGUGUCAAGCUUGCCCAACACCUCGACUUCCAGCUACUCUGAAGGGAUGAUUCCACCUUCACAUUUGCUUUCAAUUUGUCAACCCUUUGGAAAAACAAUCGGAACGUCCUGAUCGGCGCCAAGCUCCCGAUGGAACAAGGGCAAAUGCUGGCAUAACGGCUACAGAACUCAACCUGAAGAUACGGCAACAUGUAGUAUUGUAAUUACUUUUAGACUUUUAUUAGGGCAAACAUAUUUGACGGAAAAAAGAA